GGGGGUAUAGCUCAGUGGUAGAGCAUUUGACUUCAGAUCAUGAGGUCUCAGGUUCAAAUCCUAUUGUCAACU
rnacentral:tRNA from 1 species